AUGAGUACAGAAUUUGUGUCAAAAUGAUGAGAUGCAUUCUUUCCUUUUUCUCUUCCAGAUUUUUGAUAUAGAUUUGACAUAUUGUUUCUGAAAUGGAAAACUACAGUUGUCUGUUGGUACCCAAGAGGGAUUGGUUCCAGGAUCCCCAAAGAUACCAAAAUUUGAGGAUGCUCAAGUCUCUUAUAUAGAAGGGCAUAGUAUUUGCAUAUAACCUGUGCACAUCCUCCAGUAUAUUUAAAUAAUGUCCAGGGUACUUACAAUACCUAACACAAUGUAAGUGCUAUGUAAAUAGCUGUUAUGUUGUUUUUUUUAUUGUUGUACUAUUAUUUUUUAUUCUUGGGAAGUUUUUCCUUUUUUUUUUUCUGAGACAGAAUCUUGCUUUGUCACCCAGGCUGGAGUGUUGACCUUCUGGGCUCAAGUGAUCCUCCUGCCUCAGCCUCCCGAAUAGCUGAGAUUACAGGAACGCACUACUAUGCCUGCCUAAUUUUUGCAUUUUUUGUAGAGAUUAGGUCUUGCCAUGUUGCCCAGGCUGGUCUCAAACUCCUGAGCUCAAGCAGUCCUCCCACCUCAGCCUCCCAAAAUCCUGAGAUCAUGGUGUAAGCCACUGCACCUGGCCUUUUUCCAAAUAGUUAUAAUCAGCCACUGGUUGAAUUCACAGUUGGUUGAAUUCAUGGUUGGUUGAAUCUGCAGAUGUGAAACCAAUGGAUACUAAUAGCCACCUAUAUUACAUAGUACAAACCUAGCUUUGAAAAUAGUGAGACAGAUAUGAAAAUAAAAUAGAAUUCACGGGAGAAAAUGAGGGGUUCUAAGAAAGGUGUAGACAAUACAUUACCAAUACAGGAGGUCAGAGGAAGGGGAGAUCUGUCAGGCUGGGGUCUUCAGGAAUGCUUCACGAGGGAGGGACUACCAGUGGACUUCAGUAAUUUGUAGAGCUGGGGAUGAAAGGAGGGCUAAGCAGGAGGCAUGCAAGUUGCAAAGUGGAGCAAUGGGAGAUGUUCUCAGGAAACAGCACUGCGUGUCAUGGAAUAUUUUACUUUCAGUUUUUCUGGCUUUUCAGAAAAUGUGGUAACUUUAAAGUUUUCGCAGUUGAAUUAAUUCCACAGAACAACGGGUUGUAGAAUCAUAGCAACAUAAUUAUGAGUUGUGCUUCUGGCUCCAAAUCUUUCAUCUAAAAAUAAUCGCAGUGACCACAUCUUGGGAAAACAAAGCCACUACCUAUUCUUGUGCUCCAGCUAUCUCGGUAGUCACUUACUGGAAAAUGGAUUACAGGCAUUCUCUAAGGCAUGAACAUGAUUUUGAAGAAAUCCUUUACCAUCACACAUCACACAAGCCUGCCUGUGCUCCUCCAGAAACGUAGCCCUAGUACUCCUGGAAGCCCAUUUUGUUCCUUCAGGGAGUAUGCUUUCUUUCUGCAGACAGGAGAAAAAUGCUGGAAACAGAGAUGUGGGGAGUAAGAGGAGGGACGGUAGUUAUGUUUUGGUACUUUAUUUAAGUACCCGAGUGGAUUAUACUAGAUGCUGCGAUUCAGAAACACAGGCUGUCUACAGGUGAGACACAAGUUUCACCUCCAGGGGUACACAGUUUAAUUGCAGCAAAAUGUUUUAAAGAAGGAAUGCUUCACUGUGGAAUAAGGAAACAAGUGGCUUGUUAUCUAAACAGCACAAGGAACCCCUCCACCGAUGAGUUGUUCACGUUUUCUUGGUUUAUGCUUCAGGUAGAGGUAAGUGAAGCUUCCAAUAAUAUUAUGCCCUAAAGCUUCAAACUGGAAGAAAAAAAAAAAAGCCCUUGCACCCCUGAAAUAUGCAUGGAUGCCUGAGCAUGCACACACACACACACACACACACACACUUUUACCUUGCUCUAAAUUUUUGCUCAUGUACUUAGUAAUAAAAUGUUAUUUUUAGAGUUCACAGCCCCAAUAUGGAAAUGUGUCUAGAGCUUGGAUCUAGAAGUUUAUGUCUUUCUUGAAGUUCCUGGGUCAUAAUAACCACAGUGAGGACAAAGGCACCAGAACAAUGCCAAACCAGGAGAUAUGGCCUGAAUUAGAAGGAAGACAAGUUUUUAUCAGGCAUAACAAUGAAAGAAGUUGAAACCAUGGAGUUAUUAUUAAGAGAAGUUGUGGAGUAGUUAUUCCUGGUAGCCUCUAAGUAGCAGUUGGUCCUAAAUCACAAAGGGGUCACAAAUGGAACAAACAUAAAGAAAGAAUGAGGGAUGACAGUGGAAAAAAUAGAGGUGGAAAAGAGAGGAAGAAAGGAGAAAAAGGAGGAAAAAGGCAGUAAAAAAUGUUCUUGAAACAGUUGGCAAUAGUUACAAAAGUGAGACGAAAAAGUGCACGGGUUAAAGAUGAUAAAAACAUUGCUUAAGGAAGAACCAAGCAACCCAAGAGUUCUGAAAAUAGGGGAAAUGGGGAGUGCUUGGAAUGUGUAUGAUCUCCCCAGAGGAAACAAUGUUGAGAAAGAAAGGAACUCGAUUCAUUCCCAAAGUGGGCCACUGGGUGACCAUGAAAGGCCAGCGCAGCCUGGUGCUCUCUUGACCAAGGGAAACGUGGGUUGGAGGAGUAACUUCAGGUAAAAUCAAGGUCUGUGGAGAUGGAGGGUCCAUGUGCUCGGAAGAUAUAUGUUCUAAAUGUAGCAACACAUGUUUUUUUUUUUAGAAACAACUUUAUUGAUGUAUCAUUUAAAUACCUUUAAAUUCACCUGUUUUAAGUGUACAGUUCAAUGAUUUUUAGAUGUACUGUUGUGCAACCAUCACCACAAACCAGUUUUAGAACAUUUCUCUCACUCCAGUAAAAUCUCUCCUGCUUCAUUACACUUACUCUUUGUUCUCACUCCCAG